GAUUUAAAGAUCUACAGACACAAAGAGAUAAAGUACAAUAAAAUAAACUAUAGUUUGCUUCUUAAAGCUCAUUCGUAAAGAAUUUAAAGCUCAUAAUUCUAUAAAUAUCAACUGUUCAUUCAGUUUUUUACUAAGCAAAUUCAUGGUAACAGUGUUUCCAUGGUAACAGUGUUUUCUCUUUUCAGGUCACACUGACUGAAUGUCGUCUACUGAGACACAUCAUCAUUAAUAAUGGUUUAUACUUCAUCACUAAAUGGUAUUUUUACUUCUGGAAAUCAUUUGUGACAGAGCUUAAACUGUUCAAAAAAAAAUCCUCUUUCUCAGCUCACACAAAAGAUUUGAUGAUGAAAGAGUGAAAACAGACACUCCCAAACCACACACACAUACACACACACACACACACACACACACACACACACACACAGAGAACACCACUCUUCCCUAGUAAACAAGGUGACGAGGAACAGCAUUACUCAACGGCUGAUGAUUAUUUACACAAACAUGCCGUUGGGAAACGAGGUGAUGAUGGAUCCGGAGGAAAAGCAUAUGCUGUCCAUCUGAUCCCAGUCAAAUCCAGUGCAGUGCUUCCACUGACCCUUCCUCUCGUCAUGAUAAAAAAGAUUAAACAUGUUUCUCCUGAGAAAAAGACCUCAGUAAUCUCACAUGUGUUCCUCUAGAGUUCCAGAUCUCAGUCAAGUCAGCUUUAUUUCUACUGCGCUUCAUACAAUACAGACUGUUUCAAAGCAGCUUCACAGUGAUCAACAGGAAAGUAGAUUCAAUAAUGCAAACAGAGAUCAAUUCUACUGUAAAGCAGCUCUACAAAGACAAUAGUCUCAUUAUUCAGAUCAGUUCACUUUAGUGUUGAUUCAGUUUAGUUCAAUAACUGGAAAUGAUCGCAAACAUUUCAAAAACCAGCAAAUUUUAAGGGUUUUAAAGGAAAAAUUACAGAGAAUUCUAGAGAUUUUUAAAAUAAUUUAACUGAUAUUUUACAAAAAAACAUGAUGUCAAAUAUAAUGCUUUGAAAGAGUAAAAGUGUAUAGCCUAUUUGGGAUUUUGCCACAAGGAAUGGGAAUGUUUGUGUUGUUGUUGUUUUGUAACAUGUAUUUUUGCAUGCUUUGAAGAACUGUGUGUGUGUGUGUGUGUGUGUGUGUGUGUGUGUGUGUGUGUGUGUGUGUGUGUGUGUGUGUUUCUCCAGCAUGAGUCUUAUAAUUACACACAUUCUGUGUCCCGCCGUAACGCAUUCCUUCCUGCUGGCCCUCGAUCAGCCGGAGUUAAUCCCAGCGAGAACUUGCGGAAGGAACGCAUGCUAUUGAUGAAAGUGUCCGACUUCUAUUGCGCUUUUCCAGUUUUCCUCACUGAUGAAGAGAAAGAGUCGCUCAUCUUCUCACUACCGACGUUCCUCCUGUCAGGAGAUUCUGCUUAGUAACCCGUUGUCAUGGUGGUGGUCCCGCGCUCUGAUUGGACGGGAGACGAGGCCUCAGGGACUCCGACGGCUCUGGAAGCGAAUCUCUUCGGGGAGUGAGGAGAGGAGAAGCGCUGAUGUCUGUUGGGCUGGACACAAGGCCUGUCUUUGUGCUGGAAAGUGAAUGAUGAAUGCUCUCGAGACGGCUCGACUUCACUGUUCAGCUGCGCUGAUGUUGGAACGAGAACCGCCUUGUUCAGCCGUGUUUGGUGUGGUAAAGUUAUAAAUACUGCUUUAAACAUCAGACCUCUCGUACUGUUAUUCUGAAGGAGCUUUAAGCAUGUUAGUUCACAUGACUUCAUCUCUGUUAUUUCAUUGGUUCAUCCUCCACACUGGACGGCCCCUUUACUGUUUGUUGAUGUUAAAAAGACACCAAAUUAAAUUUGUUUGACCCUAAGUUUGCUGUCAAAAUUAACCCAAUAUAUGAUUUUUAACUUUAACUAAUGUAGGUCUAUGCAUUAAAAAUAUAGCCUAUAUGCAUAAUACAUGCAUUAAAAAGGUUAAAUAAUGAGUGAAUUCAAAGAAAUGUGUUGUUUAUGUCUGUAUAACCACUUCUGAAAUGACGUUUCUUUCAGCUGACGUCCCUGAGCUCUAAAUGUUUAAAGGUCGACAGCUCUACAUGAGCAUUUAACAUAAAGAUAAUAAAUGCAUUUACAAUAUAUAUGCAUUAAAAGGUCAAAUAAUGAGUGAAAUCAGAGAAAUACUGAGAUGUUUAUUUUCUUUAUUUAACCGUUUCUGAAUCGACUUUCAGCUGACGUCGCCGAGUUCUUGUUUAUAACCCGUAAAUUAUCGCGAAACAAUGUAAUAGUGUUUAAAAGUUGACAAAAUGAAUAUGUGCGUUGAACAUUAAGAUGGGUGAUGUAUUUGUGUGUAAAUCAGUAGAGCAGAUGGUGUUUGUUUGCGGCGCGUGUUUACAGUCGCGAGAUCGUGUUUAUGUUCACAUCUGCAGCUCUGUGUGCGUGUGCAAGUUUUCAUGCGUUUGUGUUUGUCUUUGGCUCAUUUUGUUUGUGUGGGCGAGAGAUUUUAACAGACCCGAGCAGCAGAUUCAGUUCCCGGCAGAUAUUACGCAUAAAUACGUGAUUACAAAAUGAUGUGUUCAAGUGUCUUGCAUCAUUAUGGAAGCACAUUUACGCCACAUAAGAGAAAAAUAAUGCUUUUGUAAAUCAUAAUUAUGACAUAAAAAUUCUGAAUUAUUCUGCAUACAUACAUUCUGAAUUCUGAAGUCAUAAUUGAGAUUUAGUAAAGCAUGAUUUGUCCUUCCACGCGUCACUGAUACUCUCGGAUGAGCCGAAGGACGGAUACGGUUCCUCCGGACAUCACGGGAGUCUCUCUGUGGUUCGACUGCUUCAAUUAAACACUGUAAAUAAUUGAAGCGAUGCUGAAACAGAAGCAGGGCCUCAUGGGAGAUGGGUGACAUCAUCAGUUCAAGUGAGGGGAAAUGGACACCGCUGUGAGCGGAGACUGAAGUCACUGACGUCCUCAAUAUAUCCCACAAAAACGCUCCUGUUUGACUGAUUGAUGAAAUGUGAAGUUCACAGAAGAAAAAAACAGUGAUCAGGAAACAAAUCCUGGUUACAGAAUUAAA